rnacentral:rRNA from 1 species
CUAUGCGCCUUGCCAGCCCGCUCAGGUGUGCCAGCCGCCGCGGUAAUACGGAGGAUGCGAGCGUUAUCCGGAUUUAUUGGGUUUAAAGGGUGCGUAGGCGGGAUGCCAAGUCAGCGGUAAAAAUGCGGUGCUCAACGCCGUCGAGCCGUUGAAACUGGCGUUCUUGAGUGGGCGAGAGGUAUGCGGAAUGCGUGGUGUAGCGGUGAAAUGCAUAGAUAUCACGCAGAACUCCGAUUGCGAAGGCAGCAUACCGGCGCCCUACUGACGCUGAGCACGAAAGCGUGGGUAUCGAACAGG